rnacentral:rRNA from 1 species
AGAGUUUGAUCCUGGCUCAGGAUGAACGCUAGCGGCAGGCUUAAUACAUGCAAGUCGAACGGGAUCCGAGGUAGCAAUACUUUGGUGAGAGUGGCGCACGGGUGCGUAACACGUAUGCAACCUACCUUUAACUGGUGAAUAGCCCCGGGAAAUCGGGAUUAAUACGCCAUAAUAUCAUGAAAGGGCAUCCUUUUAUAAUUAAAGAACUUCGGUUAAAGAUGGGCAUGCGGGACAUUAGCUAGUUGGUGAGGUAACGGCUCACCAAGGCAACGAUGUCUAGGGGUCCUGAGAGGGUUAUCCCCCACACUGGUACUGAGACACGGACCAGACUCCUACGGGAGGCAGCAGUAAGGAAUAUUGGUCAAUGGGCGCAAGCCUGAACCAGCCAUGCCGCGUGAAGGAAGACGGCCCUAUGGGUUGUAAACUUCUUUUGUCAGGGAAUAAAUGUAGGUACGUGUACUUACUUGAAGGUACCUGAAGAAUAAGCAUCGGCUAACUCCGUGCCAGCAGCCGCGGUAAUACGGAGGAUGCAAGCGUUAUCCGGAUUUAUUGGGUUUAAAGGGUGCGCAGGCGGAUUGGUAAGUCAGGGGUGAAAUCCCACAGCUCAACUGUGGAACUGCCUUUGAUACUGUCAGUCUAGAGUAUAGUUGAAGUUGGCGGAAUGUGUCAUGUAGCGGUGAAAUGCUUAGAUAUGACACAGAACACCGAUCGCGAAGGCAGCUAGCUAAGCUAUAACUGACGCUCAUGCACGAAAGCGUGGGGAUCAAACAGGAUUAGAUACCCUGGUAGUCCACGCUGUAAACGAUGAUUACUCGAUGUUGGCGAUACACUGUCAGCGUCUGAGCGAAAGCAAUAAGUAAUCCACCUGGGGAGUACGAUCGCAAGAUUGAAACUCAAAGGAAUUGACGGGGGCCC